rnacentral:lncRNA from 1 species
UUCAAAGCCCGUAAAUGGUGCGUUCCGCUCUGCCCUGCGCCGGAUGCGGCGGAUAUGCCCAUCCCGGGUUCCUGUCGCCGCCGCCCAGCUCCACAGUGCGACUUCGGCUAAUUACAUUGCUAUGCAAGAAAUUGUUGAGCAAACGAUAUUCCGAUCCACCCCCGCGUGGCGUGCCGGUGCUCGGUGGUGAUGGGGUCACCGAUGGAUGACGCAUCCCGCGCCCACGGCCCGCCUGUCAACAAUGGAGGUAUGUGCUUGCUUAUUCACUGGCUGUCAAGAACUGAUCUCUGUCGGGUAGAUCUAUCACAUAUUGUGGUUUGCUAGCUGUUGCCCUGUGGAUCAAUUUGAUUAUUAAGUUGUCAGGCCGAUAGAAAACAUGUUCUCAUUUCAAUGGAAUCGUCACAACUCACGAGUACACUAAUGUUGCUGGGAAAUAGUCUGCCUUUUACUGUUAGGGUUCGGCCUUUGGAUAUGUGGGUGUUCUUUUAUAAUUUUUAUAUACUUGUUUAAAAAAAAGAGAUACAAUCUAGAAACUAGGCGGAUUUUCGUUAAGAAGAGAAAGUAGACACUCAAAUUCAAGCCUAGAGGGGACUUACCUGGUUGUGGUUGGGUGUAUGACCACACCUCGCACCCAACCUUGAGAGCUCACUUCCUAUACUAGUGAACAUGUUUUGGGUCUUGGAUUGCAGGAAGGUCUACGAUUUGGACAAACAGGUGAACAUAACUUGAUAUGGGCACAGAUUGGUAGUACAUUAAUAUUUGGAUGAUGUAAUGACUAUGUGUGAUGGAAAAUUGCAAAGCAGCAAAUCAAAUAACAAUGUAUAUGUUAGGAUCACGUGGAACUAUGAUUAAACCCACACAUUGAUUUGCUG